UACGGAGGGUGCUAGCGUUGUUCGGAAUCACUGGGCGUAAAGGGCGUGUAGGCGGUUUGUUAAGUCUGAUGUGAAAUCCCCUCGCUCAACGAGGGAACUGCGUCGGAUACUGACAAACUUGAGUACCGGAGAGGAAGGUGGAAUUCCCGGUGUAGCGGUGAAAUGCGUAAAGAUCCGGAGGAACACCAGAGGCGAAGGCGGCCUACUGGGUCAGUACUGACGCUGAGCCGCGAAAGCCAGGGGAGCGAACGGG
rnacentral:rRNA from 1 species